rnacentral:rRNA from 1 species
GUGCGCAGCCGCGGUAAUACGGAGGGGGUUAGCGUUGUUCGGAAUUACUGGGCGUAAAGCGCGCGUAGGCGGGCUGGAAAGUUGGGGGUGAAAUCCCGGGGCUCAACCCCGGAACUGCCUUCAAAACUACCAGUCUGGAGUUCGAGAGAGGUGAGUGGAAUUGCGAGUGUAGAGGUGAAAUUCGUAGAUAUUCGCAGGAACACCAGUGGCGAAGGCGGCUCACUGGCUCGAUACUGACGCUGAGGUGCGAAAGUGUGGGAAGCAAACAGGAUUAGAUACCCCAGUAGUCC